rnacentral:rRNA from 1 species
AACGAACGCUGGCGGCAGGCUUAACACAUGCAAGUCGAACGCGUGUAGCAAUACUCGAGUGGCGCACGGGUGAGUAACGCGUGGAUAUCUGCCUUUUGGUUCGGAAUAACUCCGGGAAACUGGAGCUAAUACCGGAUGGUUCCUUCGGGAUAAAGAUUUAUCGCCAAAAGAUGAGUCCGCGUACGAUUAGCUAGUUGGUGAGGUAAUGGCUCACCAAGGCGACGAUCGUUAGCUGGUCUGAGAGGACGAUCAGCCACACUGGGACUGAGACACGGCCCAGACUCCUACGGGAGGCAGCAGUGGUGAAUAUUGGACAAUGGGGGCAACCCUGAUCCAGCCAUGCCGCGUGAGUGAUGAAGGCCUUCGGGUUGUAAAGCUCUUUUGGCGGGGACGAUGAUGACGGUACCCGCAGAAUAAGCCCCGGCUAACUUCGUGCCAGCCGCCGCGGUAA